AUUGAACGCUGGCGGAAUGCUUUACACAUGCAAGUCGAACGGUAACGCGGGGGCAACCCUGGCGACGAGUGGCGAACGGGUGAGUAGCGCAUCGGAACGUGCCCUGUAGUGGGGGAUAACUAGUCGAAAGAUUAGCUAAUACCGCAUACGACCUGAGGGUGAAAGUGGGGGACCGCAAGGCCUCAUGCUAUAGGAGCGGCCGAUGUCUGAUUAGCUAGUUGGUGGGGUAAAGGCCUACCAAGGCGACGAUCAGUAGCUGGUCUGAGAGGACGAUCAGCCACACUGGGACUGAGACACGGCCCAGACUCCUACGGGAGGCAGCAGUGGGGAAUUUUGGACAAUGGGCGAAAGCCUGAUCCAGCAAUGCCGCGUGUGUGAAGAAGGCCUUCGGGUUGUAAAGCACUUUUGUCCGGAAAGAAAUGGCUCUGGUUACUACCUGGGGUCGAUGACGGUACCGGAAGAAUAAGGACCGGCUAACUACGUGCCAGCCGCCGCAGUAAAAC
rnacentral:rRNA from 1 species